rnacentral:rRNA from 1 species
UACGUAGGGUGCAAGCGUUAUCCGGAAUUAUUGGGCGUAAAGAGCUCGUAGGCGGUUUGUCGCGUCUGCUGUGAAAACUGGAGGCUCAACCUCCAGCCUGCAGUGGGUACGGGCAGACUAGAGUGCGGUAGGGGAGAUUGGAAUUCCUGGUGUAGCGGUGGAAUGCGCAGAUAUCAGGAGGAACACCGAUGGCGAAGGCAGAUCUCUGGGCCGUAACUGGACGCUGAGGAGAGAAGCAUGGGGGAGCGAACAGG